UGUGAGAGGAAAGAGGAGACCGCCAGGGCAGCAGCUGCGACCGGUGACGGCAGGACGAGGAGGCAGAGCCGCCUGUUAGAGGGCUGCACCGACGACAUUCUCGAUUGCUUGCUAAACGACUGU